rnacentral:lncRNA from 1 species
GAUGUUUUUGCAAUCAAAGCGGUAAUGAAAAACAAAAACAAAAUUAUUUGACUGAAUAUGCAUUUUAUUGAUUGAAAAAGGUGUGGCUCGAAACCGAGCAAUACACAGGAAGCAAUCCCUGAAAAGAGGUAAUUGCGCACAAAAAGAAAAAUCUAUCCUAAUGGCAAUGUGAACCCGUGAUCUCAUCGAGUUCCAACUCGGUUACACCCCAUAUGUCCUCAAGACUCUCC